AUCGACGGGCACACUGGCCCUUUGCCCGUCCUUGCCUGGGGAUGUUUUCAGGGCAAAAAAACAGAAGCUGCUUGAAGUCAAAGGCUUUUGUAAAAGUUCUAAGCUCUUUGAAUAAGGGAUGCUAGGGAUCCCAGAGGUGGAGAGCAGAGAAGGAGGGCUUUGAGAACAGCAGUGUGGGAGGAGGAUGUGUCCAGUGUAUGAGGCUGAGAAAGAGCUUGAGAGUGAGGAAGGAAGAGAGGGAAGAAGACAGAGCCUUUUUAAAUGUUUGCAUAUUGAGAGAUUCUGCGGAUGUUCCCAUUUUGUCUCUGUUUUUAUUAUUAUUGUGGUGGUGAACGUAAUAUAAUAGAACAUUUACCAUUAUAAGCACAGUUUUGUAAUUAAGAGGAAUUUUGUUAAUUAGUUUUGUUUGGAUCUUCAAUGACUUCCCUCACGUUCAUAAUGACUUUGGUUAUUUUCACACCCACCUGCCCACCUACUACAUUUUAAAAAGAAUUCCCUGCAUUCACUAAAACAGUUCUUUCUAGCAAGUCUCCCCGCUCCUACCUUGAUGUCUGUAUUUGAGCCUUCUUGAAUGCCUUUGUGUCCCAUAGGGAACAGUGACUGGGCUGCAGGCUCCAUCCGAUGUUCAGUGGGCACUGCCAUCGUUCCAGUGGGUGAUGCAAUGUUCACUUCCAGUGUCCCCAUUGCCUGCACAGAACCUUGAUGUCAUCAUUUCAGCUUAGCCACUCCCAUGGCUACAGAACAGCCUUGGAGUGGUUUUCCUUAUCAUGGAAUUGAGGAAUAUGGGAUAGAAAACACUUCAAAAUGUCAUAGCCACUUGGUAGACUCUUUUAUGAUGUCAUUGACCGCGUUUUUUUUUUGUUUUAAUUGGGUUUCCUUCUUUUUUUUUUUUUUUUUUUUUUUUUUUUUUGGAAGUUCAUAGGAAAGCCAAGAGGAGUCCUCCCGGAACACCUCACAAAUAUCAGCCGCAGGAGGGCCACAGAAGCAAGACCCUCAGUGGAAUUUUCACAACUUGAGAAGGUCGCAGCGGGCACCACAGCCUUCCUUUUCGUUUAUGCCUUCUCCCUCAGGAGAGACUUCUCAGGACAGUCUCCAUGAUUACACCAUGCUUUCAAAUUGUUUCGAGUCACUGAAGAGAAUGCACAUGCCUAGAGACGGCACAAUCAAC
rnacentral:lncRNA from 1 species